GUUGAAACACCAGUUCUCGUACAAUUACCGAAGUUAAGCAAUGUUGAGCCUGGUCUGUACCUAGAUGGGUGACCGCUUAGAAAUACCACGAGCUGUAUG